GUGCUCAUUUUGGCAGUACAUAUACAAAAAUUGGAACUAUACAGAGAUUACCAUGGCCCCUGUGUGAGGAUGACACACAGAUUUGUGAAGCAUUCCAUACUUUU